CUUGGGUCCUUCUACAAAGCAUCUUCAGAGUCUUAACUAGUGCUCAGAAUUUUAGGCCAAUGCCUCUCACAAUUCACAGCUGCAGAGAAAUCCUGAACCCUAUAAUUCCCAGGGCAGGCUUCUAUCUGUUGGGUGAAUGGACCCUGGAGAAAACUGACAUAAGUGCUGAGUUUAAGUUUCUGAAAAUUGGAUCAAGACCUAGAAACUUUGUAAUUUGAAAUGGCUGUAUUACUUGUAUGUAAGCUUGAAGAUUUUGGAACUGAUCAAGGAAGAGACCGGACCAUGAAAG
ensembl:lncRNA